rnacentral:rRNA from 1 species
UACGUAGGGGUGCAGGCGUUAAUCGGAAUUACUGGGCGUAAAGCGUGCGCAGGCGGUUUUGUAAGUCUGAUGUGAAAUCCCCGGGCUCAACCUGGGAAUUGCAUUGGAGACUGCAAGGCUAGAAUCUGGCAGAGGGGGGUAGAAUUCCACGUGUAGCAGUGAAAUGCGUAGAGAUGUGGAGGAACACCGAUGGCGAAGGCAGCCCCCUGGGUCAAGAUUGACGCUCAUGCACGAAAGGCGUGGGGAGCAAACGAGGAUUACGAAACCCGAGUAGA